rnacentral:tRNA from 1 species
UCUAAUUAAAAUUUUAUUAUUUAUAAACUAAUGAAAUCAAAAUUAUAAAGUCGAUAUAUUGCUAUAUUCUAUUA